UGUGGAGAUAACAUUUCUUAAAAUUCUCUUCUCUAUUCUUGCUUCAGGGAUCCUGGUCUGCAAUUUUCUGUAUCUGUUCUCACUCUACUAUGGGCACCUGGACCCUCUUCUGCGUGGCCCUUUGUAUCCUGACAGCCAAGCACACAGAUGCUGGGGUCAUCCAGUCACCAAAACACAAGGUGACAGAGCUGGGACAAGCAGUGACUCUGACAUGUGAGCCAAUUUCAGGCCAUGAUGCUCUUUACUGGUACAGGCAGACGUUGGUGCAGGGACCGGAAUUGCUGACUUACUUCCGCACCCGAACUACUGUAGAUGAUUCAGGAAUGUCCAAGGACCGAUUCUCCGCUGAGAUGCCUAAUGCAUCAUUCUCCAGUCUGAAGAUCCAGCCCACAGAACCCAGGGACUCAGCUGUGUAUCUCUGUGCCAGCAGCUCAGCCACAGUGCUGCAGAUUCACCCCCUCCCUGGGCAGAAACCACCAGCGCCUGGAAGUCCUGAGCAAAGCCCUUCCUGCUCCUCCAUCCCCACAAGGAGAAGUGACUGUGAGGGUGGCACGAGCAGUCGGAGGGGCUCAGGCCCUGGGGAGCUGACAGGCUGCUCCCCGACACUUUCUGCUGCUUCUGUACAUGACGGUGAUGAAAGAAUUUGGAAAGGAAAGCAGCAGUGGGGAGGUGAGAAGAGCCUGGGCCUCAAAACCACGUGCUUGGGACCAGCUCCAUAA